AGCAAAGAGGUAAACAGUUAUUAGCCUUAACGCCGCCAUCAUUAUCGGGCUAUGGUCAAGACGCAUUAAGUCACGGCGGAGUCUAGGAAGAAUUAAAGCUUGAGUGUAAGCGCAGCGUUAGUGACACCAGUAGUGAAAGGUUAUUCUUACCAUAGAAGUGUAGGUGUAGGAGGCGAACAGCUCCAUGUUGACCAUCCUGUUAAUGGCGGCCUCGCAGUCGCGGUGGUAGUUCUGACGCACCUGAGAUUCCAUGUUGGCUGGCGUUUGAGUUUUUUAAUCAAAAAACGAACGGUAAAAAAAUAAAGCUUUAAGUCAACUUCAGUAGUGUUCAAGUAGAAGCAGGGUUGAGAGAUCUCCGGAAUGCAGGCUUGCUCGGCUCAAUGAAAAA